rnacentral:rRNA from 1 species
CCCUUAGAUGUCCUGGGCUGCACGCGCGCUACACUGAUGUGUCCAGUAAGCACCUAACCUAUUCCGAGAGGAGCGGGUAACCUUAGCAAAGCACAUCGUGAUGGGGAUAGAUUAUUGCAAUUAUUAGUCUUGAACGAGGAAUUCCUAGUAAGCACAAGUCAUCAGCUUGUGUUGAUUACGUCCCUGCCCUUUGUACACACCGCCCGUCGCUCCUACCGAUGGGUGAUCCGGUGAAUGAUUCGGACUUCAGCGGCUCCCCUGGGGUGCGCCGGAGAAAGUUUUGUGAACCUUAUCACUUGGAGGAAGGAGAAGUCGUAACA